GACGAACGCUGGCGGCGUGCUUAACACAUGCAAGUCGAACGGAAAGGCCCUGCUUUUGUGGGGUGCUCGAGUGGCGAACGGGUGAGUAACACGUGAGUAACCUGCCCUUGACUUUGGGAUAACUUCAGGAAACUGGGGCUAAUACCGGAUAGGAGCUCCUGCUGCAUGGGGGGGGUUGGAAAGUUUCGGCGGUUGGGGAUGGACUCGCGGCUUAUCAGCUUGUUGGUGGGGUAGUGGCUUACCAAGGCUUUGACGGGUAGCCGGCCUGAGAGGGUGACCGGCCACAUUGGGCCUGCGAUACGGCCCAGACUCCUACGGGCGGCAGCAGUGGGGAAUAUUGCACAGUGGGCGGAAGCCUGAUGCAGCAACGCCGCGUGCGGGAUGACGGCCUUCGGGUUGUAAACCGCUUUCGCCUGUGACGAAGAGUGAGUGACGGUAAUGGGUAAAGAAGCACCGGCUAACUACGUG
rnacentral:rRNA from 1 species